GUCUUAACUUGUAUGCUAAGUUUUUCAUGACAAUGUAAAAUCCUUUAUUUACAGAAUUUCAAAAGAUCGCUAUGGCAACAGCAAUUGGAUUUGCUAUCAUGGGCUUCAUUGGCUUCUUUGUUAAACUUAUCCAUAUUCCAAUAAACAACAUCAUUGUUGGUGCUUGAUACACCUGGAUAAAUUCGCAACCGACUACUACUGUAACAACAUUUAAUGCAAGGAAUACACACAACGUUGAGUCACUCCAUUACCAAAUCAGCUUCUUUGAAAAUGGAACGGUUUCUACAAUAUGAACCCAGUCAUCCUGUUAGUUGUAGUUCAGAUGAAAUCUGUUUCUGAUAUAGAUUUCACUGUGAAUUGUACAUAACAAUACUAAUGUUUUGUUUCAUUUUUCAUUAAAAAGUACUAGUAAUCUCAAAGGCCAAUAUAGCAAAAUCUCAUUCAUAUAA